rnacentral:rRNA from 1 species
AGUGAACGCUGGCGGUAGGCCUAACACAUGCAAGUCGAACGGCAGCACAGUAAGGGCUUGCUCUUACGGGUGGCGAGUGGCGGACGGGUGAGGAAUACAGCGGAAUCUACUUUUUCGUGGGGGAUAACGUAGGGAAACUUACGCUAAUACCGCAUACUACCUACGGGUGAAAGCAGGGGAUCUUCGGACCUUGCGCGAUUGAAUGAGCCGAUGUGGGAUUAGCGUGGUGGUGGGGUAGAGGCCCACCAAGGCGACGAUCCGUACGUGGUCUGAGAGGGUGGCCGGCCACACUGUAACUGAGACACGGUCCGGACCCCUACGGGACGCAGCAGUGGGGGAUAGUGCAGAGUGGGCGCAAGCCUGAUGCAGCCAUGCCGCGUGUAUGAAGAAGGCCUUCGGGUUGUAAAGUACUUUCAGCGGGGAGGAAGGGAGUAAAGUGAAUACCUUUGCUCAUUGACGUUACCCGCAGAAGAAGCACCGGCUAACUCCGUG